UACGAAGGGGGCUAGCGUUGCUCGGAAUCACUGGGCGUAAAGGGUGCGUAGGCGGGUCUUUAAGUCAGGGGUGAAAUCCUGGAGCUCAACUCCAGAACUGCCUUUGAUACUGAAGAUCUUGAGUUCGGGAGAGGUGAGUGGAACUGCGAGUGUAGAGGUGAAAUUCGUAGAUAUUCGCAAGAACACCAGUGGCGAAGGCGGCUCACUGGCCCGAUACUGACGUUGAGGCGCGAAAGCGUGGGGAGCAAACAGG
rnacentral:rRNA from 1 species